UACAAACAUUUCCUCACCAAAAUUAAGGGGAACAAAUUAGAAACUAUACCAUACAAUUAGAAUUUAUAUCGCAAACUAAACAAUUUGUAUGUGAUUUUUGUACAGAUCGUGAGACUUGUCUUAUUUCAUAUUUUAUAUAAACAUAUUUCCAUCGCGCAAAAAGCGAAUAAUAAAAACAUUUUCUCACCAAAAUUAAGAGGAACAAAUUAGAAACUAUACCAUACAAUUAGAAUUUAUAUCGCAAACUAAACAAUUUGUAUGUGAUUCUUGUACAAAUCGUGAGAUUUGUCUUAUUUCAUAUUUCAUAUAAACAUGUUUCCAGAGCGCAAAAAGCGAAUAAUACAAAGAUUUUCUCACCAAAACUAAGGGGAACAAACUAGAAACACUUUCUUUUUAACAACUGAAAGACGCGUCCUUUUACACGUAUAUUUUUUACUCUGUCUGAAUGAACUUGUAUAAAACAUCGAUUACAGAUCUUCGUUACUAAGCACUCAAGGCAAUUAUACAAAUUUGUUCAUACGAAGAUAUUGAUUUUUCGAUAAAUGCUAAAAUUGCUUUCGAUAAAUGCUUAGCAUAUUUCUAGACCCCAUAUGUCUGGUAAAUCUGAUGUGAUAAAUUUCAGCCUGUUUCACCCACUUUGUUCUGAACUGGAUAUGUGCUUUCUUCAAUUCUUUGGAUAUUUUCAACCUUUUUCAAUAAUUGGUUCAUCUAAUUUCGUACCACUUUAGAAUUGUGUGCUGUACCGUGAAUGGUAGGUCAAUAGGGUUCACACCACAAAGCAGCUUCUCUUUAUAACAGAAAUUUGUGCGACAGUCUGGACUCUAUUCAUUCUUCUAUUCUUUACUUUUCUUUCAUCUUUCUUCGCUUGGGCCCCAUGCUUUACGAGUUCCUUACCAGCUACUUAGACGAACAUUAACUGUUCACCAAAUACAGACAGUGUCAGGUGGCAAUAUUGAGAUGUACAGCAAGGACAUUGAACGAAGCAUUCUUUUAAAUAGAUUUUACAUGCAUUUCAUAUGUCAAUAUUCCCAUAUGUCAAAUUUGUAUAACAUUGAAUAACACGAAAUUUAUGUAAAUGUUAUAUUUAAUGCUAUGUUGUGCGAAUAGUAUUUGCAAUAGUAUGCGCAGUAAUCUUUGUAGCCAUUGUACAUGCACAGUGUCUUGCAACCGAGAUGUUGAGAAACGACAUUGAUCAACACCAAGAAAGUGAUGUUGCUAAACUACUUUUUUAAAUCUUGCCUUAGACUUUGCUGUCAUUUACGUUAUCUUCUUGCAAUGAAUCAGCUUAUGGAAACGAGUAAUUUAUUUCAAAAGGCAAACAUUAGGCGUACACGUAUGUAGCAUAAUUGCGAGGCUGAUAAAGAGUUGAGUUGAUCGGUUUGGCUUCCGAGAAGCUCGGUUGAUGAUACAACCAGGUGAAAGAUAAUUUCACGUGGCAAAAUAAAUCCGAAACAUAGUGUAAAUAUUUCCAUACGUUUACCUAAUGAUCUAACACGAUAAAUACAAACAUAAGUAAAUAUUGUAAGUUGAGAUAUAGUUCGGUGUACACGUAACAAGCACAUGUAACGUACUUGUAUUUACAGUCAAGUUGCUCGGGAUCAGAGGCUGGUACAAUCAGACUCUAUGGUUACAAAAGGUUCUCUAUAAUUUAACGAAGAAUUACAACUAAAGUUACAGUUCGCAUCAAUUUUUGUUAUCAGAUAGAAUUCCGUUACAAUCUUCAGCAUAAACGUGACUGCAGGAGUUUAAGAAACAUCCAAGUUCCUCGUGGUCUUAGAAGACCUCGUGGUGGUUAAAAUUGGUUUGAUCAGGUCGAUUUGAAAAAUUGCUGUUUAGCAUUUAGCUAAUAUCUGCGAUAAUAGCUGCAAGUCAAAGGUUAAUAUUUCGUCUUGCUCGAGUCGACUGGUUCAAAUUAUCCGAAUGAAAAGCUACCAGCGAUGAUAAAGUAAAGAAACGUUUGCAGAAAGUUCGAUGGCCAGCUUUCAGCUAACUUGGAUAAAGAGCAAAGAGGUGUAAACGAACGGUUCGGCGGUUUAUACAGGUGACAAUCUGCAACGAGAAUGACAAGGAUAAUUUCAUGGAUUAUCAAAUCGAACAGCUCACUUAAACCACGGUUCGAUUAAAUGGCGAGCAACUCCUUGCGGAAAAAAUUCAUUUGCACACUUCCGAGCGUAUGAUCCGAUAAGGGUCGAAUUAAUCGGCUUGCAACCUAUUUAAUGUCGGCGUUAUUAUUAGCAAGAAGGAGGAAAAGAAAUGGUAUAUACUAGUUGCAACGGCUGAUAGUGUUAGUUUAUGAGCGAAUUAUUGCUCCAUUAUAGCAGCGGCUGCGAGAUAUCAUAGCAUCGACUAUUUACAGCGGAAUUGUGACUGGAAAGUUCGACUGAAAUUCGCGUUAAUUCGAUUGCAGAGUCCUCGCUGAAUUUUCGUUGGAUUCUUCUCUCCUUCAAAUUAUUCCGCAACGAUUUACGUGUAAUUUUCUGUUCAUUAUCGAUGUAUUGGAAGGUGUUUAUUAUCAUUAAUAAAUAAAUUCGAACAGUAUAUGACAGGCUGAAAAUCAUAACGAUGUAAAUGAAAAUAUUGAGAAUUUUAUCGUGUAUUUCAGCUCUUAAAAGUAUGGUAGUUUUACUUUUAUAAUUAAGUUAGUUAUAACUUUAUUCUCUGCCGCGAUGCGUCUUUAUGACCUGAAAAAAUAUAAAUUUGUAUAAUGAUAAACACAGAACAUUAUUUUGUAAUAUUAAAUAACGGUUUAUUUACGUCACUAUGAUUUUUCGUUGUACAUAUAUGAAGACUUUGCUUGAAACUUAACCCCCCCCCCCCAAAAAAAAGGAUAGCGCAAAGUAAUUUUUAUUCUUAUAGUAGCCGUGCGCGAGUUUUGCAAAUUCGUAGAAAAAUCGUUGCAACAAGCGUGUAAAAUUAUUAGUUAAAAAAAUUAAUAACGAAACGUUUUAAUUAAAAUUUUAAUAAAAUCUCUGACUACGUUUUUGCUGUGUUAAAGAGAAAUGCAUAUUCCGCAGACAUAAUUAACUGAAACUAGUAAACUCAACAGAAAAUAUGUUAAACUAUAAUAUAAUAAAUUUCCAAAGUUCCAACUGCAAUUAUGACGUAAAAAUAUUUUACAAAAGUGAUUCCGUAGGUUAAUUUCUGAUUGAAUGUCCUAACGUAAUUAUCCACGGUGGCCGCAAAACCACACCAUAGUAUUUAUUGUAGCAUUUACAUACUAAUUAAUUAGACGAGAAAGAAGAGAGAAGAAGAAAUUAGUACAAUGGCGACCAGAAGAAAAUUUAUAAAACGAGAAGUAUAAAAAGGAAAUGUAAAUUUACAAAACGAGCGUUGCUAAUCCGGUAAAAGAUUGUCUCAAUGCAAAAGUUACCGAAAUUCAUAAUAUACCAACAUAAAACUUUAACGUUAAAUUUCCUAUCAUUUUUAUACUCUACGUAUGGCCAAAACACAGACUGGACCUGACAGGAAAAGAUACUGUUGAAAAAUAAGGACAUGAGCCGGUAUUUUUAUGAAAUUUCACGUAAUUCAAAGAAUCGGAUACGAAAGGAUACAGGGAAGAAGACAGACGAUGGUACGUCCCUGGUGUUGGUGUCACUUCCCAUUUCGGGUUGGCGGCUCGGUUUUUCGUCGUAGAUGUUCGUAUGCUUCCGCCGGCGAUCCGGAAAAGCACGAGGCGCGCAUCGGCCGCUGCGCGGAAAUUGUCGAACGAGCGGUGGAGGUCGGCGGAGGUCGGCCAACUCGAACCACGCGGCGGCGUCGAUUCAAUUCUCGAUACGCGUAGUUGUCGCUUGGAAAAUCGUUGGGCCGGCUUUUGUCGUCCACGUGUUCUCACGGGAACUUUGGCCGUUUCUUGCUACGAACCGAGCAACGCGGAUCAUGCAAAUGCAAGUAUUAAUAUGCGACCCGCCGAGUAACUUACGCAACCGUUAAUAACUCGUAAUGUUUGUAGACAGCCGUACAUCCGUAUUCUAUUAACGAGUGAUAAUGUAAUACGAUAUUUGUCAUUGGAACGUUGUUUCCCUUUCAGACACCAAGAUACGAGGCAGAAAUGAGUAACUGGAUCGCUGUAUUAAUUAUCGAAUAGCGAGCACCAGCGCUUUGUUGCAAUCGAUACUUUCUCUCGUUCUUUGAUCGCACAAGUAUCGAUGAUAUUUUCAAAUUAUUCGAUUCUGCUUUAAUGCAGUUUACGACGCACUAUUUGACAAAGUGUGGCGGCGUAUAAUAAUUGAGUUUACGUGUUUGAUUGUUGAACGCUGCUUGUGUACGAGCACAAAUAUCGUCACUUAACACGCAGUACCGUGCUACUUGCUUUAAUUGCUAUUGAAAAAAUUCGGCACGCAUAACGAUUUUAAAGCCUCGAUUACAUAAACAUCGAUAUAAGUCGAAUUAAUCGGCUCGAAAUCGUUGAGUAACGAGUGGCAAGUAGCUUCGACUGAUACUUAAUAAAAAAUGGAUACCUGAAAACGUCGUAAAAAUAUCCGAAGCUGGCCAUAAGACAUAAAAAAGAAUAUAAAAAUCGUCUUAGAAUGUUUACAAAAACGGUCGAUGAUUUGCUCGCUACGAUUAAACCGAAAGUUAGUUGAAGAAAUAACAAAGAAUGGCUAAGAGAAUUCUAACUUCGCUUAAAACCCGAAGAAACGUUUCAAGUGUGCUGAAUUUAGAUAACUUGAACGAGACGAAACCCAGCCAUGGAAUUGGAUCUAAAAAUUAAAGUUACUUAAUCUUA